UUUAAACUAUAAAUGAAAAAUGAAACUCUAGAUAAGUAGUAGAUAGGUACUUAAAAAUUAAAAAAUUUGGCGGUGAUUUAAUCUUUUCAGAGGAACUUGUUUUAUAAUCGAUAAACCACGUUUAAUCUUACUUAUUUUAGUAUAAUCAGUAUGUAUACCAUCAUUAUCAGGUGAUUUUUAAAGAAAAAAUUACUAAAAAUAAUUAGUUAAAUAAAUUAGAUCAUGGUGCAGCUUAUAAAUAAGGUAAAAUGAGUUACAAUAAAGCUUUUUAAAUGAAUUAGUAAAGUAAGAAUUUACUAUGAAGGUGGAUUUGAUUGUAAGUGUGGAUUAAUAAGCUUAUUUGAUAUUGGUGCUAAAUCAUGU
rnacentral:rRNA from 1 species